ensembl:miRNA MIR4745 microRNA 4745
GUGAGUGGGGCUCCCGGGACGGCGCCCGCCCUGGCCCUGGCCCGGCGACGUCUCACGGUCCC